rnacentral:rRNA from 1 species
UACGUAGGGUGCGAGCGUUAAUCGGAAUUACUGGGCGUAAAGCGUGCGCAGGCGGUUCGUUAAGUCAGAUGUGAAAGCCCCGGGCUUAACCUGGGAACUGCCGUCCAAACUGCUUGGCUUGAGUCCGGGAGAGGUGAGUGGAAUUCCCAGUGUAGCGGUGAAAUGCGUAGAUAUUGGGAGGAACACCAGUGGCGAAGGCGGCUCACUGGACCGGAACUGACGCUGAGGCGCGAAAGCGUGGGGAGCGAACCGG